CGCAGGAGUGGGGAGUGGUCAAGGCUGACCCAUAGUGACUUUGCUCCUGUCAGUCUUCACCUGCUUGUUUGAGCAGGAGGUGUGCUGGGCAUUGGGCAGACAGAGGGCACGCCCUUCUCAUCUGGAGGAGCUUACUGUGGGGCUCUGUUGCUGUCUGGGAGGUGCUGGGUCAUGGAUGACAGCAGGGACUAGUGGGCUUGUGCGGGGCUUGGGAUCAGGGAGGCAGGAAGAAGCUGCUGGCCUGGCCAAAGCUGUGGACUUGGGAAUCAGAUUCUUAUCCUACUCCCAGCACCGACCUUGGGAAAGUCACUUCCCUGACCAAAGCUUCACUUCUUUGUCUCUAAGACAGAGAUCGUAAUUCUGUUGGCAGGACACAGGUGAGGAUGAAAACAGGACCACAGAGGUAGGACUGAAUGAGAGAGGUCCGGACCAUUCAAAGCCUGGAAUAAAUGGCGGCUGCUGUUGUCACAAUUCAUACAAGAGGCUCUCACCAGCUAGGCCAACAAGCUGGGUCUAGCUCCCCAAGAAGUAGCCAAUCGGAGCAUUCCAUCCCUUGGCUCACAGAGAUUGGCUCCGGGAUAGACAUGUGACCCAAGUUUGGCCAAUGAAACCAAGUCCUGGGACUUUUCUUGGAAGCAUUGGGAAAGAGAGGCCCUCUUUCUGCCGGGCUUAAUGACAGUUGGAGCUGCUGGUGGCCAUCCUGCCUCCGUGAAGAGAGAGAGACUGUUCAGCUGAGGAUUAGGUUGUCUGGAGGAGGAGAGAGGGAGACUGAAGCUGAUAUAAUGGCUUGAUGUUGCCCAGCCGGCUCGCCUGAAGCCAAAGCACGCUCCUGUGUGCGAGUCAGUAAUCUUUCCUUAUGCCUACUUCUGUUGCUUGUCAUCAAAAUGAUCUCGAGGAAUGAAAGGCAAUUCAAGGACCUCACAAGCCUGGUAGAGUUGGUUCUGAAAUGUCUGGUUUGGGGGGACUGGACCAGGCACAGUCAGUAGGUAAGUGCUGGGAGGUUGCUUCUGCUGCGCGUCGGUGGAAUCUGCACGGGGCCGGGCAUGGCGUCGAGAGGAGGAACCGAGCGGUGGAUGGCCGGGCUGGCAUCUGGGCACAAGCAGAGUCCCAAGGGGAGUAUGGGUCCCAGGUACCUGGGGUCCCAGGUCCACAGCAGGUGAGUUGACAGGGAGUGCGGUAAGGGGCAGGGGCAGCGAGUGUCUCAGUAUGCACCCCUGCUCCUG
rnacentral:lncRNA from 1 species